rnacentral:lncRNA from 1 species
UAUUGAAUUGAUUUGAAUUAUAAUUAAUAGAAAACAAGUACAUAAAUCCUAGCAAUGAAGGCAGAAAAACAAAAACGUGAUUAAUAGAAUACAAAAAGCAUUUUGCAGCUUUUGUUUGGGUAGAAUAAACCAGCAUUAAGCUUAAUUUCCACCUUCUUUUUAAUUACUAAUACUAUAACAUUGCCAUAUAUGCUUACUAGCAUGCCACUGAUCGUAUGGAUAAUUUGCAUGGUUAGCACCAUGUACCAUGCCAUUUUGACACUAAAAUCCUCUUCCAAUUCCUCCACCAGCACCACCACCGAAUCCACCACCACCACCACCACCAAACCCACCACCACCACCACCACCGAAUCCACCACCACCACCGAAUCCACCACCUCCACCUCCACCCGCACCACCUCCAAUUCCUCCUCCAACUCCACCACCUGCACCACCCCCACCACCAAGCCCUCCUCCAACACCGCCACCUGCUCCAGCACCACCACCAGCUCCAGCACCACCACCAGCUCCACCUCCUAAACCGGCACCACCGCCAAGCCCUCCUCCAGCACCCCCACCGGCUCCUCCUCCUAAACCACCACCAAGCCCUCCUCCAGCACCACCACCAGCUCCACCUCCUAAACCGGCACCCCCGCCAAGCCCUCCUCCAGCACCACCACCUAAUCCACCCCCACCGCCGCCACCGAACCCUCCUCCUGCACCCCCACCAGCUCCACCUCUAGCACCACCACCACCUCUAAUCCCUACUCCAAAACCACCUCCAAAACCGCCGCCGCCGCCAAAUCCUCCUUUGGCUAUCCCACGCCCACCAAAACCACCAAAAGUAAGCUCUCUCCUAGCACCACCAUCCAAAUCCUCCUCAAACUUUCGACACUCAACUAUCCCUAAAACAAACACAAACAUCAAUGCAAGCACUCUCAAUCUCUUGGAAAUCAUUUUUCCGACCAUUUUCCAAAAAAUAAAAAGUAAAACACUCUCAACUUUCAAAUCUAUCUGUUUGGGACAAAACUCUUAAUCUAUGCUUAUAUAGUAUAUUUUAUACUAUAAAAAGGUUUCCCAUAUCAACAGGUGUUGCUUUUUUUCCUUCACAACUUUCUUGGAUUUGAAUUAGUCAUUGUCUAAGUUUUAGAUUUAGCUUGGCGUGAAUUAACCCUGUAAUUAGACAUGAAAUUAAGUUCGGACACUUGGCUAAAAUGUGAAGUAACAAGCCAUGAAAAACUCAAUAUAAAUUGCAUGUUACAUAGAUUAAUACAUAUGCACUAGCAAGUUGAACCCUAAAUUUUUUGACACCUAAAAUGUAAUUUCACUAUUAGGGGAUUAAAAACAAUAAUUUUUCAUUUUAGGGGGUCAGACCCUUGUCUCCUCCUCCCUUCUUUCCCGUGCACCGGAUGUGUUAGGCAAAAGAUAAAUAAAGCACAAAUAAACAAAGCAUAAGUUACACUAGUAGUCACCUAACUAUUAGUAUUUUUUUUUUUGUUACCUAACCAUGAAAGUUAUAAAAUAAUCACGUAACUAUUCGACUUUUUCUUUUUUGGUUGUCCAACUAUGAAAAGUUACAAGCUGGUCACUGAACUAUUAGUAAAAAAAAUUUUGAUCACCCAACUAUGAAAAAUUACAAAAUGAUCACCCAACUAUUCAAUUUUGUCUUUUUUGUCACCAUUGCCUAAUAGUGACAGCUUUUAAAAUUGUCACAAUAACAACUUUAACUCUCAACAUUUAUACAUUGUGUCAAUUUAGUUUUGAUUAUAAAUAAAUCUAACUCUCAACAUUUACACAUUGUGUAAUUUGGUCCUUUUUGCAAUCUUGCUUUUCUUUGUAAAAAUAUUGGUUUUGAGGUUUUCAAAAUUUUUACAAAAGUUUUAUUGCUUACUCUCUUAUUUUUUUUUCAGUUUUACUUUAUUUUUAGUUUUUACUAUUAAAAGUCAUGCGGUAUUUACUUUUCUUUAAAAUUUUCAUUUUAAAUUAUGUUACAUAAGAUUUAACAUGUCAUUUAAUGGUUAAAUUAAUGGUUUUAAUAACUGAAGGACCUAAUUAAUAUAACAUUGAUAAAAUAGGGAUGUAAUUAGAAGAUUUUAAAAUUUGAAAACUAAUUUAAAAUGAAAAUGAUAGUUUAAUAGUUGCGAGAAAUUUUUAAGUAUAUUUUGAACAAUAAUAUAAUAUUUGAAGUUAAGUCAAUUUCGACAACGUGAAACAAAAAAUUGCACUAACAAUAAUGUCGAUACCAAUCGAGUUAAGACUCUGUCAAAUUAUUUUUCUUAUUUUUGGUACUAUCAUCAUCAUGAGCAUGAUUUGUUUACUUCAUUAAAAUCGAAAUCAACCAAUAAAAAUUGAAUUGUUGAAUUAAAAGUAAGUUAAUGAACAUAUAAUUAUCAUAUUAAUUAGUAUACAAUGUGUAUUUCGUUGUUAAAGUAAAAUAUUUUAAAUUAAAAAAAAGUAAAAAUUAUUGACAAUCAACCAUUAUUGAAUUGAUUUGAAUUAUAAUUAAUAGAAAACAAGUACAUAAAUCCUAGUAAUGAAGGCAGAAAAACAAAAACGUGAUUAAUAGAAUACAAGAAGCAUUUUGCAGCUUUUGUUUGGGUAGAAUAAACCAGCAUUAAGCUUAAUUUCCACCUUCUUUUUAAUUACUAAUACUAUAACAUUGCCAUAUAUGCUUACUAGCAUGCCACUGAUCGUAUGGAUAAUUUGCAUGGUUAGCACCAUGUACCAUGCACAUUUUGACACUAAAAUCCUCCUCCAAUUCCUCCACCAGCACCACCACCGAAUCCACCACCUCCACCUACACCUCCACCCGCACCACCUCCAAUUCCUCCUCCAACUCCACCACCUGCACCACCCCCACCACCAAGCCCUCCUCCAAGACCGCCACCUGCUCCAGCACCACCACCAGCUCCACCUCCUAAACCGGCACCCCCGCCAAGCCCUCCUCCAGCACCCC